rnacentral:rRNA from 1 species
AGUCGAGGGGCAGCAUGAUUUGUAGCAAUACAGAUUGAUGGCGACCGGCGCACGGGUGAGUAACGCGUAUGCAACUUACCUAUCAGAGGGGGAUAGCCCGGCGAAAGUCGGAUUAAUACCCCAUAAAACAGGGGUCCCGCAUGGGAAUAUUUGUUAAAGAUUCAUCGCUGAUAGAUAGGCAUGCGUUCCAUUAGGCAGUUGGCGGGGUAACGGCCCACCAAACCGACGAUGGAUAGGGGUUCUGAGAGGAAGGUCCCCCACAUUGGUACUGAGACACGGACCAAACUCCUACGGGGGGCAGCAGUGAGGAAUAUUGGUCAAUGGCCGAGAGGCUGAACCAGCCAAGUCGCGUGAAGGAAGAAGGAUCUAUGGUUUGUAAACUUCUUUUAUAGGGGAGUAAAGUGGAGGACGUGUCCUUUUUUGUAUGUACCCUAUGAAUAAGCAUCGGCUAACUCCGUGCCAGCAGCCGCGGUAAUACGGAGGAUGCGAGCGUUAUCCGGAUUUAUUGGGUUUAAAGGGUGCGUAGGUGGUGAUUUAAGUCAGCGGUGAAAGUUUGUGGCUCAACCAUAAAAUUGCCGUUGAAACUGGGUUACUUGAGUGUGUUUGAGGUAGGCGGAAUGCGUGGUGUAGCGGUGAAAUGCAUAGAUAUCACG